rnacentral:siRNA from 1 species
UGCAUUGGCAAGGUUGUUGAGUGU